rnacentral:rRNA from 1 species
AACGAACGCUGGCGGCAUGCCUAACACAUGCAAGUCGAACGAGACCUUCGGGUCUAGUGGCGCACGGGUGCGUAACGCGGGGGAACCUGCCCGUAGGUUCGGAAUAACUCCCCGAAAGGGGUGCUAAUACCGGAUAAUGUCUUCGGACCAAAGAGUUAUCGCCGUUGGCUGGGCCCGCGUUGGAUUAGCCAGUUGGUAGGGUAAAAGCCUACCAAGGCGACGAUCCAUAGCUGGUCUGAGAGGAUGAUCAGCCACACUGGGACUGCGACACGGCCCAGACUCCUACGGGAGGCAGCAGUGGGGAAUAUUGGACAAUGAGCGAAAGCCUGAUCCAGCAAUGCCGCGUGAGUGAUGAAGGCCUUAGGGUUGUAAAGCUCUUUUAGCCGGGAUGAUAAUGACAGUACCGGGAGAAUAAGCUCCGGCUAACUCCGUG